rnacentral:piRNA from 1 species
UGUAACUCCAGCCUCAAGGGAUCUGAUGC